GGCUCGGUAGCUUAGUUGGUAAAGCGCUCGUCUAGCAUACAAGAGUCCUGGGUUCGAAUCCCAGCCGAGCAC
rfam:Aedes aegypti strain Liverpool supercont1.207 genomic scaffold, whole genome shotgun sequence.